rnacentral:rRNA from 1 species
UACGUAGGGUGCGAGCGUUAAUCGGAAUUACUGGGCGUAAAGCGUGCGCAGGCGGUUCGUUAAGUUCGUUGUGAAAGCCCCGGGCUCAACCUGGGAACUGCAAUGGAAACUGGCGGGCUUGAGUAUGGCAGAGGGGGUGGAAUUCCGCGUGUAGCAGUGAAAUGCGUAGAGAUGCGGAGGAACACCGAUGGCGAAGGCAGCCCCUGGGCCAAUACUGACGCUCAGGCACGAAAGCGUGGGGAGCAAACAGG